GUCUAGUUAGCUCGGUUGGUAGAGCGUCUGCCUUGUAUGCGCUAGGUCGCGGGUUCGAUUCCCGCCCAGGGCG
rnacentral:tRNA from 1 species